rnacentral:lncRNA from 10 species
CAGCUUCACGCUCCAUCAGUGGUCUCACCAUAGACCUUCUAAUCUUGAUUGUGUUGGCUGGUGUCUAUUUUCUAAUGGUGUUUGGUUUUGGAACCUGCAUUUCUUUGAAAAAGAGUGAGCAUGUGCAUUUUCCCAGAUGCCUGGUAUCCAACUGCACUUCUCCAUGUGUGCAUUGUCCCCUGAGCUGGCAAGAAGAUCCUACUAGUUGGUCUGCAUGCCAUGCCAGCUCGGCCUUGCACCCUGGGGGCCCAGGUAACUAGCUCUCACCAACAGAAAGAGAUGUGAUGGACAUCACCUGAGGCCAGACCCUAAGACCUCUGUGUGCCCCCUCCGUGUCUCCUGUCUGCAGCUGUUGUCCACACCAAGGGUGGCCUACAGAGGGAAGUGAGGACCUUGGGACUUCCUCCAGGACAGCCCUCGCUGUCCAAAUCUCCACCUGCUGCAGAGCUGCCUCCAGUCAAGCCCUUGUUUCCAGCUUUCUGUGCCCUAAAUAAACUUCUGCUGGGAUUGAGCCAUCAGCAUUCUGUGGUGGGCGUCGCUGCUGCGAGGUUGCCCUCGUGCACACAAGCUCCUCACAGGACUUCCAGGAUGAUAUGGAAGAGUGACUGAGAGCAGCCGCCCGGUGCUUCCCAACCUUAGAGGGAGGUCACGGGCAGUCUCCCUGCGAUGCUGGCCACAGGGUCUCGCUGUGUCGCCCAGGCUGGAGGGCAGUGGUGUGAUCUGGACUCACUGCAGCCUCGACCUGUUGGGCUCAAGUGAUCCUCUCACGUCAGCCUCCAAGUAGCCAAGACCACAGGCAGGCGUCACCAUGCCCAGCCCCCAUGAUGACUUUACUUUUCUUCUUGAACCUGGUGAAUUUCUGUGUUAACAUGUCUGAUUUGAACCCUUCUGAUAUUCCUGAGAUAAACUUUAUGUGACCUUGGUAUUCUGUUGGAUUUUGGUUAGCUGAUACUUCAAGAUUUUUA